GGUCUUGUAUUCAAGAAUGAUUUUAGACUGCAAUUCUAAAGGUAUGAAUUAAUUAUCAUUAAGGCCU
rnacentral:tRNA from 1 species